CCGAUUCCCAUCCUCCAUUCUCAAUUAAUUUCCUUUGCCUCUCUAAGAAAGUAUAAACCACCUAAUUAUUUGCAGAGCUAUCUAGUUAUCUCAUUUGAGUCAGAAAUUGCCAGGAUAUGGAAACCAAUACUGUUAUAUUUAAAGUCUUUUUCAUGCUAGUAUUUUCCUGUAAUUUAUGUUGGCCCAUAUUUAAAGAAGCCGUACUAAUAAUGGGCAUCUAAAUUGUUAGUUUAGUCUCCUAUUUUGAUAAACUGAUGAAGAACAGACAAGUUUAUAGAUAGAGAACAAUAAAAAUGAAAAGAAACUAAUCAUAUAUAAUGUUUGGUACAAAAGAUUUUGAAUACAACGAUAUAUUAAUACUAAAGGACGGAGAAUUUGGGUUGAACCAUAAAAUAUAAAUCAGCCAUAAUUGUAGACAUCGAAAUUUCGGUAAAUAAAUGUUGACCGAUAAAUCAAAGUUUCAACGCUCAUGUAUUACAUA
rnacentral:lncRNA from 1 species